GACGAACGCUGGCGGCGUGCCUAAUACAUGCAAGUAGAACGCACAGUUUAUACCGUAGCUUGCUACACCAUAGACUGUGAGUUGCGAACGGGUGAGUAACGCGUAGGUAACCUGCCUGGUAGCGGGGGAUAACUAUUGGAAACGAUAGCUAAUACCGCAUAAUAUUGAUUAUUGCAUGAUAAUUGAUUGAAAGAUGCUAUUGCAUCACUACCAGAUGGACCUGCGUUGUAUUAGCUAGUAGGUGAGGUAACGGCUCACCUAGGCGACGAUACAUAGCCGACCUGAGAGGGUGAUCGGCCACACUGGGACUGAGACACGGCCCAGACUCCUACGGGAGGCAGCAGUAGGGAAUCUUCGGCAAUGGACGAAAGUCUGACCGAGCAACGCCGCGUGAGUGAAGAAGGUUUUCGGAUCGUAAAGCCCUGUUGUAAGAGAAGAACGGGUGUGAGAGUGGAAAGUUCACACUGUGACGGUAUCUUACCAGAAAGGGACGGCUAACUACGUG
rnacentral:rRNA from 1 species